AUUCUGGUAACCCUGUUUUAACAUGGAAAUUUCAGAUUAUGAAAAAAAAAAAGUCUGGUGCACUAAGAUCUCGAUAUGCGUAGAGUUCGGGGAAGAGCCUGAACACAAGAGUCUACUGUAUGCAACCUUUCCCUGUAUUUCUACAAAAAAUUAUUUCCACGGCUCAAACCCGUAACUCCUGGUCACAUGGCAGCAACAUUGCCAGUGUGUUUUUUGUGAAAAAGAUUCUCUUUUUGGAGUCAUUCAAAAGAUAUUCAUAGGCAAGGCCGUAAAAUAUGAGAUUUGUAAUCUUUAAAUUAAGACUGAUUAUCUUAUAUAAAUGAUAAAAGCGAUAUGAUAGUGUAAAAAUUACUUAUAAUGAUGAUGUAUAUAAUUUAAACUCGUAUUUUUAUGCAACUGAUAGUUGAUUAAAAUGUACUAAUAGAACUUAGAAGUAAUGGUAGCAAUUGCUUACCCAUAACUUCACUGAGAAGAAGAAAUUAAUCUUGAACUCACCUCAAAACCCAAGCGAAUAAGUUGGUAAUAUUGAGCAAUUACUUGGCUAGAACCUGCAUUACAAUAGCAAAACAUGAUUAACUUCGUAAGGCUAGUGAUAUGACUCUAGUGGUACUUUUCAAUUUUUUUUUGUGUAAGAAGGAAAAUACGCAGUCGCUACAACCUCUGUCAUAGUUUUUGCCCUUCGGGUGAGCACUCUGUGGUGAACACUUUGUGCGCACAGGUAAACCUUCUUCUGUGUAAUUGCCUUACAAAUAUAGGACAAAGUGUAUAAACGAACUCCUUUAACAUUACGUAAGCCACUUUAGUGCGAACGAGAAAGGUUAGAAUUAUUGGAUGUUGUUCAGUCGACUAUAACUUAACAACCAAAAAGCUAUGUGAAAUCAUAACAUACCCGGUUUCUUUGUUCUUCUCAACCAAGAGGUCAUUCAAGCGCUUAACAUCUUCAAAUUCACCAUUGAGGGUGGAACCCAAGAUAGCAGCUACACAAAUUGUGUUCUCAUCCACCAUUUCUACAGCUUUCUCAGGGUCCAUCACAUAGCAUCCAUCACUCAAUUUUACUUCUUUCAAUUCCACUUCAAAAUAUAUAUAUAUAUAUAUAUACACCUCAGAGGCUUGAAACUGUUAUGUACACCUAUACCCACGCAUUACACGGCAUUUGUACGCACGUGCAUAGCAUUAUAAAUGUUUCAGGAUUUACAAGUUAUUUAGACUUACGGGUGGAGUUCUGUAUUGCAUGUUUCAUCUAUGUCUUUUAUGUACUAAUUUUUAUGUCUUACAUACUCAGUACGUUAUUCGUAUAGACGCCCUAUUUUCCGAGUCUUGCGUUUCAUGCCCGCAGGUGCAGCGGUACACUCUGCUCUCUCGCGACCCCUACUCUAAUCAAAAGACUAAAGGCCCCUAUUGAAGAUAGGUCGCCAAACUACGACCGAGAGUUUCGCCUUUUGAAGCGGCAGUGGCGUAGAGCAUCGCAUGUUUUAUGAUAGUAAAGGGCAUCUUGAUGCAUAAAGCAUCACGCAUUCACUUAAGGUUUGCGGAAGGACCAUACCUCAAGGAGUGUAAUGUAAACAACUGACCCUAAUGCAAGCAUUAACGGCAGCUUACAUGGCCCAAACCCCAUGAUCUAUAUGUCACAUGAAGACAACUUUACCUUUGCUCUAAAGUUCCUCUUCAGAAAAAGAGAAUGGCAUCAUCCGAACUCGAUUUUUAACGAGUUAUGAAUUUAAUGGAAAAUCCAGAACUCAUUAACCUCAAAACUCACCUAUGACUAUACACAUAAUUAAGGACUUGUAAUGAAGGAAUUAUACCUUUAGAGAAGUUGAGAGUGAAAGUAGGUUGAUCAGCACCAAGGUAAUUAAUGUGGAAAAUAAGUUCAUCAGGCAAGUCUUCCUUAUUCCUCCAAAUAGCCCAACCAAUACCAGCAUAGACAAGACCAUAUUUGUGACCACUCACAUUAAUACUUUUCACCAAUGGCAAUCUAAAGUCCCAUUCAAGCUCAGGAUAAAGGAAUGGUGCAAUGAAUCCUCCACUUGCUGCAUCCACAUGAAUUGGAGUGUCCCACCUGUUACCAAUUAUCAACUAUAUAUUAUGGUAUUAUAUACGGUUAGACCUCUCUAUUAUAUAGUUAUUUAUUAUAAAAGUUAAGUUUUUCUCGGAAUCAAUAUUUACAUUAUGUUAUAAUAUGUAUCUUCCAUAACAAUACUUUACUAUAACAGCAAAAAAAUAUCGGAACAAUCGAGACUAUUAUAGAGAGGUUUGACUGCGUAUAAAUAUAAGUAGUUUGAUGCGUAAAGUAUCCCGCAUUCACGUAGCGUUCGGAGAAGGACCGCACCAUAAAGGAUGUGAUGUAGACAGCUUAUCCUAAUACAAACGUUAAUUAUUACUUCCAUGGCUCGAACUCGUAACCUAUAUGUUACACGAAAACAACUUUACCAUUGCUCCAAGAUAACUCUUCUAUUAUUAUAUUUAUACAAAGAAAAACAGAAGAAAAAAAGAAGAAGAAGAUAUUUACACAAAUGCUCAUAAGUCUUUUCAUAAAUAUGAAUUCGAAACAGUAAAUUUAAGACUAACUUAUAAUUUGUAUAUAAUUCGCUAUUUCUUUUAAUUAAUAAUGUUAGAAGACGUACGAUCGAUAUACUUCUGAAAGCUCGGACAAAGUGUAUAAACGAACUCCUUUAACAUUACGUAAGCCACUUUAGUGCGAACGAGAAAGGUUAGAAUUAUUGGAUGUUGUUCAGUCGACUAUAACUUAACAACCAAAAAGCUAUGUGAAAUCAUAACAUACCCGGUUUCUUUGUUCUUCUCAACCAAGAGGUCAUUCAAGCGCUUAACAUCUUCAAAUUCACCAUUGAGGGUGGAACCCAAGAUAGCAGCUACACAAAUUGUGUUCUCAUCCACCAUUUCUACAGCUUUCUCAGGGUCCAUCACAUAGCAUCCAUCACUCAAUUUUACUUCUUUCAAUUCCACUUCAAAAUACCUUGCAAAUUUCUCCCAACAUACCUGUUAAAAUUACAAAAUUAGUCCACUCUCGACUCCUAAAUUUUGGAAACAAAUUCAUGUAUUUUAUAGAGUUCAACUUCUCUAUGCGACAGUGCAAAGAAAAUUUUAGACUAUCAAGUAAAUUAAAAGAUAAAUACAGGUAACAAAGUCCAUAAAAAAUCGAAUUAAUGCCUAGAAAGUAAGAUAUAAUACCUAUCACAACAUAUUAAA
rnacentral:lncRNA from 1 species